rnacentral:rRNA from 1 species
ACGAACGCUGGCGGCGUGCUUAACACAUGCAAGUCGAACGCUGAAGCUCAGCUUUUGUUGGGUGGAUGAGUGGCGAACGGGUGAGUAACACGUGAGUAACCUGCCCCCUUCUUUGGGAUAACGCCCGGAAACGGGUGCUAAUACUGGAUAUUUACUGGUCUUCGCAUGGGGGUUGGUGGAAAGGGUUUUUCUGGUGGGGGAUGGGCUCGCGGCCUAUCAGCUUGUUGGUGGGGUGAUGGCCUACCAAGGCUUUGACGGGUAGCCGGCCUGAGAGGGUGACCGGUAACAUUGGGACUGAGAUACGGCCCAGACUCCUACGGGAGGCGGCAGUGGGGAAUAUUGCACAAUGGGCGCAAGCCUGAUGCAGCGACGCCGCGUGAGGGAUGGAGGCCUUCGGGUUGUGAACCUCUUUCGCUCAUGGUCAAGCCGCAACAAUGGUUGUGGUGAGGGUAGUGGGUAAAGAAGCGCCGGCUAACUACGUG